UACGUAGGGUGCGAGCGUUGUCCGGAAUUAUUGGGCGUAAAGAGCUUGUAGGCGGUCUGUCGCGUCUGCUGUGAAAAUCCGGGGCUCAACCCCGGACUUGCAGUGGGUACGGGCAGACUAGAGUGUGGUAGGGGAGACUGGAAUUCCUGGUGUAGCGGUGAAAUGCGCAGAUAUCAGGAGGAACACCGGUGGCGAAGGCGGGUCUCUGGGCAACAACUGACGCUGAGGAGCGAAAGCAUGGGGAGCGAACAGG
rnacentral:rRNA from 1 species